ACUCCUACGGGAGGCAGCAGUGGGGAAUAUUGCACAAUGGGCGAAAGCCUGAUGCAGCAACGCCGCGUGAGGGAUGACGGCCUUCGGGUUGUAAACCUCUUUUAGUUGGGAAGAAGGGAGUGACGGUACCAGCAGAAAAAGCACCGGCUAACUACGUGCCAGCAGCCGCGGUAAUACGUAGGGUGCAAGCGUUGUCCGGAAUUAUUGGGCGUAAAGAGCUCGUAGGCGGUUUGUCGCGUCUGCUGUGAAAUCUGGGGGCUCAACCCCCAGCCUGCAGUGGGUACGGGCAGACUAGAGUGCGGUAGGGGAGAUUGGAAUUCCUGGUGUAGCGGUGGAAUGCGCAGAUAUCAGGAGGAACACCGAUGGCGAAGGCAGAUCUCUGGGCCGUAACUGACGCUGAGGAGCGAAAGCAUGGGGAGCGAACAGGAUUAGAUACCCUGGUAGUCCAUGCCGUAAACGUUGGGAACUAGAUGUAGGGGCCAUUCCACGGUUUCUGUGUCGCAGCUAACGCAUUAAGUUCCCCGCCUGGGGAGUACGGCCGCAAGGCUAAAACUCAAAGGAAUUGACGGGGGCCCGCACAAGCGGCGGAGCAUGCGGAUUAAUUCGAUGCAACGCGAAGAACCUUACCAAGGCUUGACAUAUACCGGAAACGUCCAGAGAUGGUCGCCCCGCAGGUCGGUAUACAGGUGGUGCAUGGUUGUCGUCAGCUCGUGUCGUGAGAUGUUGGGUUAAGUCCCGCAACGAGCGCAACCCUCGUUCUAUGUUGCCAGCACGUUAUGGUGGGAACUCAUAGGAGACUGCCGGGGUCAACUCGGA
rnacentral:rRNA from 1 species